GGUCGCAUAGGUAACAAUGUCACAGAAGCUAGAUUACUGAGUAUGGCCCUCAGUUAACCCUUUGCCUCAUAAGUAACCUAGCACCCCCAAACAUCAAAGGUGACUCGAAGGCAGAGUGGAGUGAUGACCAGGAUUCCAGGGGAGAGUUCCAUCAUGCCUGUCCCUCUACUCACCAGAUUUAACAGCUCCAUUACCAUAACCACAGAUCUAGACAUCACGACCGCUUGUCUUGUUGCCAUGACUAUGGGGUCAAGGUCUUAUCUACCUCAUAAUGGCCAACGUUAUGGUCACAUUCGGAUAGGAAAAAAAGUUAUACGACAGCCAUUGUGUAGGAAGAGAGAGGAGACCAGGAGCCAGAAGAUGGAGAUUAGUGAGGGAUUGGGGCCAGGUCUACCUGGAGAAGGGAGCCAAGACGGGACCUCAUGACUCAGUCUAGACUAAGGCAAAAGCUUUCAGUAAAAUAUUAGUCUACAAGCCCUUUUGGAUGAGAUGUGGCUGCCCAGAGAUGGCCCGAGGAAUCUUCAUUGGCCGGCAGGAUCUGUCCUCAGAGACAAUGUGAGACAAUUAGAAUAAGGUUCUCUUACCAGCUUGGCCACCACUGCCAUGACCCUCCCUGGAGCUGGCCUUUCAUCUGCUUCCAGUCCUUUCCACUCAACUUUGCUACUGGAGGCUCACCUAAAUUCAGAGUCAGAGAUGGUCCCACCCAUCGAUACUCAGUGUCUCCCUCAUCUCUCACAUGAAUGUCUCUGUGCUCAUGAAGAUACGAAACCACUGGCCUUUUCUACUUCUACCAAUCCUUCUCCCUGUAGGCUUUCGGCCUCCUACGCCCUCAGUGAGCUAUAACUGUCCUGCUCAGUUACUGGCUAGGCCAUCAUCUGUCUGAAGGACUUGUCUUCAGAUGUCCUGCUGCUAACUCUCUCACAUACUUGAAGUCCUUGCUCCACUGUUACCUCUACCAAGAAACCCAAUAGGUCUCUUUCCUUGAGGAUGGUGGACUUCAGCUCCAGCAGCAGCCAGCUCAGGAAAGCCCAAGUGAUUCUGAGACUACCUUAUUUAACAGCAUAUGCAUGCG
rnacentral:lncRNA from 1 species